GCCUGGGUGGCUCAGUCGGUUGGGCAUCCGACUUCAGCUCAGGUCAUGAUCUCACAGUCUGUGAGUUCGAGCCUCACCUCGGACU
rnacentral:tRNA from 1 species